UACAGAGGGUGCAAGCGUUGUUCGGAUUUACUGGGCGUAAAGCGCACGUAGGCGGAUUGGUCAGUUAGGGGUGAAAUCCUGGAGCUCAACUCCAGAACUGCCUUUAAUACUGCCAGUCUCGAGUCCGGAAGAGGUAAGUGGAACUCCUAGUGUAGAGGUGGAAUUCGUAGAUAUUAGGAAGAACACCAGUGGCGAAGGCGGCUUACUGGUCCGGUACUGACGCUGAGGUGCGAAAGCGUGGGGAGCAAACAGG
rnacentral:rRNA from 1 species